rnacentral:lncRNA from 10 species
GGCUUGGAUUGGGGUGGUAAGAAAGAGAUGGAGACUAGAGCAAAGAUGGUGAGUAUCAUAAUUUGAAUUUCCCCAGAAGCAAACCUUGAGAGGACAAUUUGAACGCAAGUGGUUUUUUUAAGAGACAAAAACCAAUAGGGGAGUUGGGAAAGUGUAUAGUUUUCUAUUGCUGCUGUAACAAAUCACCACAAAUUUGUAUGAAUGUAUUCUCUCACAGUUCUGAGGGUCAAAAGUCCAAAUCCGUUUCAUUUGGCUAAAAUCAAUGUGUCAGCAGGACUGGUUCCUUGUAAGGCUCCAGGGGAGAAUCCAUUUCCUUUCCUCUUCCAGCUUCUAGAGGGCACCAGCAUUCCUUGGCUUGUAGUCCCUUCCUCCACCUUCAAAGCACAUCAUUUCAGUCUCUGCUUCUAUCAUCACAUUACCUUCUCUUCUCACUCUGACUCCUGCUGAGUCCCUCUUAGAAAGGAGUGAUGUAGUUACAUCAAGCCCAUUCAGAUAAUCCAGGAUAAUCUCCCCAUUUAAAUAUUCUCAAAUUAAUCCCAUCUGUGAAGUCCCUUUUGCCUAUUUUAUUACCUGUAAUGUAAUAAUCACAGGUUCCACAGAUCAGAAUAUUUGAGAAGCCCUUAUUCAGCCUACCUACCACAGGAAGUGAGAGUGUGAAGGGGAGGAAGUCAGUAAAGUGUAUAUUAAUUGAGCCAGUUUUCAUGGUGGACCACUGGAGCUCAAUCCCACUGGGGAACUCUGGGAGACUGUGGAGAGCAGAGCUUCUCAAGCUUCAGUGUGCAUCCCCCCUGGGGAUCUUAUUAAAAUGCAGAUUCUGAUUCAGUAGGUUUGAGGUAGAGCCUGAGAUUCUGCAUUUCCAACAAGUUUCCAGGUGACACCAAUGCUGUUGAUCUGGUACCAUGCUUUAAAUAACAAUGAUGUAGAAUGUGCCUCAAAGCUAUCCCAAAUCAGGGGCAAGGAGGUUGGGAUAUUUAUUCACCAACUCCCUGUUCUUCAUUAGUGGAAAGCUGCUUUCAGGCCACUUCCUGAUUGCCCUGUAUGUGGGUGGAGAAUGGUCCUGAGGCAAAAAAAAAAAAAAAAAAAAAAGUUCCAGGUGGAGUCAUAGUUGUUUACAAUGAACAACCUUCAUUGUAUGAAGGUGAGUGCAAAGAGAAUAGGGACAGGACACCAACAACAUGUGCUACAGUGACUGACUAGUUAUAGAAAGACAAGGAGGAAGAAUAGGAUGGAGGACAGAAGAAGAAAAAGCAUGCUAAUGAGAAAGGAGAUUCAUCCAGUUUGGAAUCUGAGACACUGGGAAAACACUGGUAGCAUGAAUAAAUAAUUGUGAGGGUCAAGAUGACUUUAUUUCCAUCCAGACGCUCAAAUGCCUGACUUAAUGCUAUGCUGACUCUUUGGUCAUUUAGAGUGUACAGAGCUGCAUCAAAGCCCCUGAGUGUCUGCUUGCAGCCUAUCAAAACAAUCUCUCCCCUGAACCCCUAAGCCCUCGGUUCCCUCUCCACAUAUAAUUCUCUUCCAACCUGGAGGUUACUCUGGAAACAAGCCCUCUGCAAAUUCCAAGAAACAGAUAAUAAGAGCUUGGAGGAGGAUUGUGGUUACAAGAAUAGAAGCAUGAGAUGUAAGAAAUAUUCCAGAGGACAUACUUCAAAGGAGGCAGGAUAUUUAAGUGCUGAAAUUGUGCUGAAGUGAAUGUCACAAUUUAAAGCCAAUGUAAUUUUAGUUUGAUUACCGAUUCUCUAAGUGUCCUUAGGUAUAAGUCAUCUGUUGGCCAGCAGUUUACAAUGCAUUAGCUGUUGACACACACUAUAUGUGAAACUUGGAAGUAUUGCCAUGUAAACAAAAUAAGAUUUGCCUGCCACUUUGCAUUAUAUCAAAAGAGCAU